rnacentral:rRNA from 1 species
UGAGCAAUCUGCCCUUCUCUUUGGAAUAAGCGUUGGAAACGACGUCUAAUGCCGAAUACGACCUCCUUUCGCAUGAUCGGAGGUGGAAAGCUCCGGCGGAGAAGGAUGAGCUCGCGGCCUAUCAGCUAGUUGGUGUGGGUAAUGGCCCACCAAGGCGACGACGGGUAGCCGGCCUGAGAGGGUGACCGGCCACACUGGGACUGAGACACGGCCCAGACUCCUACGGGAGNAGC